GGCCAUACCCAUGGCAUAUGGAAGUUUCCAGGCUAGGAGUCAAGUUGGAGCAACCUACACCAUAGAUCAUGGCAAUGCCAGAUCCCCUACCCACCAAGCCAGGCCAAGGAUCAAACCCACAUCCUCAUGCAUAUGAGUUGGGUUUGUUACCAGUGAGCCACAAUGGGACCUCUGAAUGCUGUCUUUUCUUACUCCAUUAGUAGAGGGGAGAACAUCCACAAGUUCCCCCCCAAGGCCCAGAAGUCACCCCCUCCCUGACCCACUUAACACAGUCUAGUCCUUUGCCUAGAAAGGCUCAAUAAAGGGGUGGGAGUGAGGAUCAAAGAACCAAUGUCAUUUAGCAAGACUUAAAGGGAGGUGACUGACAGAUCUAUGGUUACUCUCUUCAGAAGGUAGAGGCAGUAAUCCCCUCUUGUCCUCAGUUUGGACUUUGUUCAGGAGUCAGUGAUAAACUAGAAAAUUACAUUGUUCUUCUUACCAUAAGAAGUACCCUUAUAUUUUAUAACAUUAUGAAAUGUGAUCUAGCUUUAAAAAUUCUUUUUACAUCAUAAAAAUGCUAAGGUUGUUAAGAAUAAAUCAAAGAAGUAUAAUUUGUAGGCUGUGUUAUUUAGACCAACACUUCUAGUGACAAGAAAUAAAAUGCUCUGAUGGCUUAUACCACAACCACAGCACCUCAGCGUCCAGGCCUUGUCUGCAACCUAUACCACAGCUUGCAGCAGCACCGGAUCUUUCACCCACUGAGUGAGGCCAGGAAUAGAAUCUGCAUCCUCACAGAGAAUAUGUUGGGUUCUUAACCCACUGAGCCACAGUGAGAACUCUUACUAUGUUUUUCCUGUACAUAUAUACCUAUGAUAAAGUUUAAUUUAUCAUUUAGGCACAGCAAGAAGUUAACAACAAUAAUAGUACAAUUGAACAAUUAUAACAAUGCAUUGUAAUGAAAGUUAUGUGCCUCUGGUCUCUCUCUCUCAAAAUAGCUUACUGUACAGUACUCACCCUGCUUGAGGUGAUGUGAGAUGGUAAAUGUCUACAUGCCAAGAUGAAGUGAAAAGAAUGAUAUCAGCAUUGUGGUAUAAUUAGGCUAUUGUUGCCUCUCUGUUGAUACAUCAGAAGGGUUCACCUACUGCGGGUGAUUCUGGAUCAUUAAGCCAUGGAAAUGUCCAUGGUUGGAUGUCAGGAGCAGAUAAUGUCAAUGGUAUCCUGGGUGGGAUAGAGUGAAAUUUCAUCAUGCUCCUCAAAACAGCACACAACUUAACAUCGUCUAUUUCUGGAAUUUUCCAUGUAAUAUUUUUGUACUGCAGUUGACCACAGGUAACUGAAACCAUGGCAAGCAAAACCAUAGGCAAAGGGGGACUGUUGUAGCUGGAUAAAAUUGAAGCAGAAAAACAUCUUGAGACCACCUGACAACGUAGUAGGGCAGCAGAGAGGUAAGCAGAGCUCAAAGCUGUUUUUUUCUCCAAGGGCAUUGCCUCAUUGCCUUAGGGCAAAACUGGGCUUCACUUUUUAAAUUGUUUAAUUUUUCUUAUGGCUGCACUCAGUGUAUAUGGAAGUUUCCAGGCCAGGGAUUGACUCCAAGCUGCAGCUGCAGCAACACCAGAUCCUUUAACCCACUGCACCCGGCUGGGGAUUGGAACCUAUCCUCCACAGCAAACUGAGCUGCUACAGUUGAAUUCCUAACCCACUAUGCCAUGAUGGGAACACCUACAAGGUUGUGUUAGUUUCAGGUAUACUAUAAAGAGAUUCAGUUAUACAGAUAUCCGUUCUUUUUCAGAUUAUUUUUCCCAUGUAGGUUGUUAUAGAAUAUUGAGUAAGGGAUUCAAUUCUGAUGGAUUUAAGAUACAGGAAUGAAAGGACCUACCAUGAAGGGGAGUCUAGUAGGAGAUUCUCCCCCAUGUUAAACUCAGAUCUCAAAAGGCUGAAAUACCCCCAGAGUAGAAGUCUGUAACUAAACCCACCUCAUUUCUCAUUUCUAUGCCUAUAUGUCUUCAGAUAAUAUUUCCUUGAGUUGGUGGGAGGGGAAGAAAGGAAAAAAAAAAAACCCACACUUUCCUAGGAAGUUGGGGGUAUGUCUCUUCUAGUGCAGAUUUGCAGCCUUGGUUUACAUUGUCUGGGUGGUCUAGGGAACCCCAAUCCUCUUGAUUUAAUUUGAGGUGGUUCAGAGGGAGUUAAUAAAGCUUCCAGAUGCUUGGAAGAACCAAAUGCAAAUUCUCUCUGGACAAAGACAUAUUAAGUCUAGUCUUCAAAGAAUUUCCAUUAAUAUUUUUCAAGGAUGAUGCUCUGUAUGCAGUAAACAAGCAAAUAAGUGAACAUAUAAGGAAAUAAGUGAGAACCAGUUAAAAAACAGAGAGUAGAAACAGAACCCUCAAAAUUGCAAUUAAAAUUUUAAGUUGAUUGUAAAGAAGAAAGAAAAAUAUAAUAAAAGGGAAAUAUAUAAACUUCUAAACAUUGAUUAGGCACAUAAAGCAAAAUAUUUUAUAUUCAUGAUACAUUAUAAAUGUUACCUCUUAAGAAAUUAUUUCCCCCAUGAUUGGAUUGGUAGAAGAUUCUUGCGAGUACCAUACCUACAGACAGAGGACAAGUUCUUUUACUGUAAGUCUCCCGUGGCAAGUGUGUUACGUAUUCGUUUAUUGCUCCAAGACCCUCCUUUUCAUUUUCUUUUCUCUUUUUAACAUUUUUUUGGUCUUUAUUUUUUAGGGCCACACCCGCGGCAUAUGGAGGGUUCCCAGGCUAGGGGUCCAGUCGGAGCUGUAGCCACCGGCCUACACCACAGCCAUAGCAAUGCCAGAUCCAAGCUAUGUCUAUGACCUACACCACGGCUCACAACAACCCCAGAUCCUUAACCCACUGAGCGAGGCCAGGGAUCGAACCCACAUCCUCAUGGAUACGAGUAAGGUUGGUUAACCGCUGAGCCAUAACAGGAACUCCUUCAUUUUCUUUUUAAAAGUUUUUAUUGAGCUAUAUUUUAUAUUUGAUAUAAUAUAUACAUCUUAUGGAAAGCUCAAUGAAGUUUUACAUAUGCGUAUACCCAUGUAACGACCACUCCCUUCAAACACUGAACAGCAUGAGCACUCCCAGAUCACUUAUACAUCCACAAUUCAGUGACCCCCCCAAACUUACCAAUUUCUGACUCCUUUUUUUCUUAGAAAACUUUUAUCUACUUUCGAAUGUAAUAUAAAUGGAAUCAUGUAGUAUAUACUUUUUGGUAUCUGAUAUCUUUCACUCAGUGUUCGAUGAGGGUCAUCUCUGUUGCUAUGUAUUGUACUAGAUUUUUUCUUUUUUUAAAGUUGUAUAUUGGAGUUCCAGUCGUGGUGCAGUGGUUAACGAAUCCGACUAGGAACCAUGAGGCUGCUGGUUUGAUCCCUGCCCUUGCUCAGUGGGUUAAGGAUCUGGCAUUGUCGUGAGCUGUGGUGUAGGUUGCAGACGCGGCUCGGAUCCUGCAUCGCUGUGGCUCUGGUGUACUCCUGUAGCUACGGCUCCGAUUUGUCCCCUAGCCUGGGAACCUCCAUAUGCUGUGGGAGCGGCCCAAGAAAUGGCAAAAAGACAAUAAAUAAAUAAAUAAAUAAAUAAAAAAUAAAGUUGUAUACGUUCCCUGGUAUGGAAUUUAUCCAUUUUAUGGUUGGUGGACAUUUGGGGAGUGUUAGGCAUUAUGCUGCUAUGACCAUUCUUGUACAUGUCUUUCUGUAAACAUAAGCCAUCAGUUCUUAUGGUAAGUGUGCCCAGGAGUGGAAUUGCUGGGCAUAGACUGUAUGUGUAUUUAGCAUCAGUAAAUACUACCAAAUGGUUUCCCUAAUUUAUACUCCCAGCUACAAUGGCAUGAGCAUCCUGCAGAAACAUCCUGUCUUCGGAAUUAAAUCAUCCAGUGUCAUUGCUCAUAUGAUGUUAAUGACCUUCUGCAAAAACUUUCAAGGGUAAAAUUCUAGGGGACACAAUCACUGUGACUUCUGCCUUGCUGUGGUUAUCAGCUGCCCAUGCAGAGAGGAGCAGAGCAGGAGAUAAAAAAAGUUCUAUCAAUAUCAUUUAAAUUCAUGACUUCUGUGGUGCCUGAGGCCCACUUCAUCUUGACCUUUCCUAAGUAAGUAUAUGUGCUAGUAAAUUUCAGGUUUUGCUUAAGUAAGUUUGAAUUGGGUUUCUGACACCAGCACCCAGGAGCAUUUUGCUUCAGAGAGCACCUUUGCUGAAAGGAACAUGGCAAAGUCUCUCUCAGUCUAUUUCCAGGGUCUCAGAGUUCAGAAUUUUGAAAGUGAGUAUUUUGCCUCACCAACCACAUUGUAUAACAUUUUGUGUUUAUGUACCUCCUAAUUAUGCCAUAAAAUGAAUGCAUCAGAUGUUGUGUACGUGGACUAUUGGAAUUCCUGGGAAUAUUUACCAAGGUAGCUGUUGCAGGUAGGUAGGAUUUUUCUAGAUCUGAAUGAUUGGAGGUGGGAACCAGAUGAUAUAAAGAUAAAUCUAUUUUUUACUUUCCACAACCACGCUUGUUAAUCCAUUCACACAUGAAAAUAGACAUCCCUUAGAAUGGGAUUAUGUUUCAGAUAAUUCUUGUUUUAAACACAUUUUAUUUUUAACUCUGAAACAUUAAAGAAUUACUCUGGAGACGUUCAUGUUCAAGGGAGGUGAGCACCUUCAGCAAAAUGGAACAUCACAGCUGAUCUUUAGGAGACACGGUAAAUACCCAGAAAAGAGAAAGUUAAGCAACAACUGCUUUAAUUGUGGAGUCAGAGAUCUUUGCAUGUAAAAAAGUCUUAUAAUUUGGGAAAGAGACAAGUUACUAGAGAAAGAGGGAGUUGCAAGAGUUUUUCCAGUAUAAACAGUACACGGUAUAUGUCAAAGGUCUAGUUUUCCUCCUGGUCCUUUUAAAUCAAUUUUGGGGGUAAUAUAACCUAUUUUUUGACCCAUUUCAGUAAUGAGAAUUAUUGAAAAAAUAGAAUUCAUUUUUAUUGAAAUCAACUGACAGUCACCUUUGAAAUUUUUUUUACUCAACAUGUUAACUGUAUUUUUGUAAAGCAGUUUCCGACAGCAAUUAGAGCCUGUGCGCUCCCUUUUGGUAACUUUCAAAAGCGUCUGUACUAUGUCAGAUAAAAGCCAGAACAUGUCCCAUUUCUGCUUGAAAAGAAUAUGCCUAGUUUUCGAUGCAGGGUACCGCUGGUGUAUCUGGCAGAAUUGAAACGGCGAAAAUUGUUAAGCAGAUUUCAGGAUGAUAUAGGAAGUUCUGGCUUGCUUUCCACUGCUAACUGCAGUGAUAUGACUGAGAGUGGGCUUGUGCCCUAAGUGUUCAAGAAAUAGGCUCACCUAAAUAGGUUGAAAACUGUAUGGAACCCAAUGUCCCUGUUCUUGGGGUAUCUCCCCUCUCCUUUGAGAUCCCAAGUCACAUGUGGCAACAGAGCUGCCCCAGGUAACUGAGACUCCACAAAGAAAUCACCCAUGGAGUUCCCAUCAUGGCUCAGUGGGUUAAGAACCUGACUAGUAUCCAUGAGGAUGUGGGUUCAAUCUCUGGCCUCGCUCAGUGUGUUAACGAUCCAGCUUUGCUGCAAGCUGCAGCAUAGGUCACAGAUGUAGCUCAGAACUGGUGUUGCUGUGGCCAUGGUGUAGACCGGCAGCUGCGGCUCCAAUUUGACCCCUAGCCUGGGAACUUCCAUAUGCCACAGGUGUGACCCUAAAAAAAAAAUAGCCCAUUCUGAUUCUCACUUAUCACCUGAGUCACCCAUUAGCAUUCUCCAUCCUUAGCUCAUUUCUUGCUUUGGCAAUAACUUUCUCCUUCCUUCUGCCCUUCUCUUUCUGCUGCCCAACAAAGGGUAGGUUUGGGCCUUGUGUAUGUCAUAGAUAAGAUCAGGCUGCAGCACCAAGCAAACAUAACUGAAGGUGUGUUUGUAGUACAAAGAAAUUACCACAUAGAAAAUAUUACAGUGCAUCUCCCCCCUCCCCCCACCAAGAAGGAAUUUUCCUAAUGUCUCUCCCCUUAGAUCCUAGUUUCCACCAGCCCACCUCCCCACGGUAGGAAGGCCUUGGGCAGGCCAGUCUCUGUUUAUCCUGUUAAUAUGUAAAUUGAAGUUAGUUUUAAAGCUGUGUUUAUUCUAUUCUAAGACAUCAUUCGUUGUAAGAUGCAGCAUUAUUCUAUAUAUGUCUUCACCAGUCAGGGAUUUAUUGACAAAGGCACUAAUUACAAAGGUGUAAGGGAGCCACAAAGGAAAGUGUAGAAACCUAAGGCUGACAUCUGAGGAGAUGUCACCACCUGAGGGC
rnacentral:lncRNA from 1 species